ACUCGAAAGAAGACACAAAAGUAAUGAAGAGAGGGGAAGCCCCUAGGCGGUGAGAAGAAGGUUGGCACUAACCUAUAUUGCUCUGGGGACCUGGGGAGCGAGAAACGGGAGGCGCCUACGGCUCGAGAAGACGUUCACUAGAGCAGGCUCUCGAAGAGAAGACAGACACCAGCAAAAACUCAGAAAUGGAGUAGGACGCCUGAAGGGGGGAGGACGGGUUUAAAUAGACCC
rnacentral:lncRNA from 1 species